rnacentral:rRNA from 1 species
GACGAACGCUGGCGGCGUGCUUAACACAUGCAAGUCGAACGGAAAGGCCUAGCUUGCUGGGUACUCGAGUGGCGAACGGGUGAGUAACACGUGGGUGAUCUGCCCCUGACUUUGGGAUAAGCCUGGGAAACUGGGUCUAAUACCGGAUAUUCAUUUUUCCUCGCAUGGGGAUUUGUGGAAAGCUUUUGCGGUUGGGGAUGGGCCCGCGGCCUAUCAGCUUGUUGGUGGGGUAAUGGCCUACCAAGGCGACGACGGGUAGCCGACCUGAGGGGGUGAUCGGCCACACUGGGACUGAGACACGGCCCAGACUCCUACGGGAGGCAGCAGUGGGGAAUAUUGCACAAUGGGCGCAAGCCUGAUGCAGCGACGCCGCGUGAGGGAUGACGGCCUUCGGGUUGUAAACCUCUUUCAGCUCCGACGAAGCGCAAGUGACGGUAGGAGCAGAAGAAGCACCGGCCAACUACGUG